rnacentral:rRNA from 1 species
UUUCUAUUAAAUAUAAUUAAUAGUAAAAUCUGCUCAAUGAAAUUUAAAUAGCCGCAAUACGUGCUAAGGUAGUAAAAUAAUUUGUCUUUUAAUUUAAGACCAAACAAAAGAUUUAACAUUUUAAUUAAUAUACAAAUAUAAAUAAAUAUAAAUUAUUAUAAAUAUAAAAAAAAAUUUAUAAAAAAAAAAGACGACAAGACCCUAUUAAACUUUACUUUAGUUUAACUGGGGUAGUUAAUUAAAUAUAUUUUAAAUUAAAUUUUCAUAAAUAUUGACCUAAUAAAAUUAAUUUAAAAAUCAAGUUACUAUAGGGAUAACAGCGUAAUAAUUUUUAUAAGUUCUCAUAUAAAAAAAAGAUUGCGACCUCGAUGUUGAAUUAAUAUUCUGUUUCAUGCAAUAAUGAAUAAAGAUAAGUCUGUUCGACUUUUAAAUCAUUACAUGAUCUGAGUUCAAACCGGA